GAUGAACGCUGGCGGCGUGCCUAAUACAUGCAAGUCGAGCGAACGGACGAGAAGCUUGCUUCUCUGAUGUUAGCGGCGGACGGGUGAGUAACACGUGGAUAACCUACCUAUAAGACUGGGAUAACUUCGGGAAACCGGAGCUAAUACCGGAUAAUAUUUUGAACCGCAUGGUUCAAAAGUGAAAGACGGUCUUGCUGUCACUUAUAGAUGGAUCCGCGCUGCAUUAGCUAGUUGGUAAGGUAACGGCUUACCAAGGCAACGAUGCAUAGCCGACCUGAGAGGGUGAUCGGCCACACUGGAACUGAGACACGGUCCAGACUCCUACGGGAGGCAGCAGUAGGGAAUCUUCCGCAAUGGGCGAAAGCCUGACGGAGCAACGCCGCGUGAGUGAUGAAGGUCUUCGGAUCGUAAAACUCUGUUAUUAGGGAAGAACAUAUGUGUAAGUAACUGUGCACAUCUUGACGGUACCUAAUCAGAAAGCCACGGCUAACUACGUGCCAGCAGCCGCGGUAAUACGUAGGUGGCAAGCGUUAUCCGGAAUUAUUGGGCGUAAAGCGCGCGUAGGCGGUUUUUUAAGUCUGAUGUGAAAGCCCACGGCUCAACCGUGGAGGGUCAUUGGAAACUGGAAAACUUGAGUGCAGAAGAGGAAAGUGGAAUUCCAUGUGUAGCGGUGAAAUGCGCAGAGAUAUGGAGGAACACCAGUGGCGAAGGCGACUUUCUGGUCUGUAACUGACGCUGAUGUGCGAAAGCGUGGGGAUCAAACAGGAUUAGAUACCCUGGUAGUCCACGCCGUAAACGAUGAGUGCUAAGUGUUAGGGGGUUUCCGCCCCUUAGUGCUGCAGCUAACGCAUUAAGCACUCCGCCUGGGGAGUACGACCGCAAGGUUGAAACUCAAAGGAAUUGACGGGGACCCGCACAAGCGGCGGAGCAUGUGGUUUAAUUCGAAGCAACGCGAAGAACCUUACCAAAUCUUGACAUCCUUUGACAACUCUAGAGAUAGAGCCUUCCCCUUCGGGGGACAAAGUGACAGGUGGUGCAUGGUUGUCGCCAGCUCGUGUCGUGAGAUGUUGGGUUAAGUCCCGCAACGAGCGCAACCCUUAAGCUUAGUUGCCAUCAUUAAGUUGGGCACUCUAAGUUGACUGCCGGUGACAAACCGGAGGAAGGUGGGGAUGACGUCAAAUCAUCAUGCCCCUUAUGAUUUGGGCUACACACGUGCUACAAUGGACAAUACAAAGGGCAGCGAAACCGCGAGGUCAAGCAAAUCCCAUAAAGUUGUUCUCAGUUCGGAUUGUAGUCUGCAACUCGACUACAUGAAGCUGGAAUCGCUAGUAAUCGUAGAUCAGCAUGCUACGGUGAAUACGUUCCCGGGUCU
rnacentral:rRNA from 1 species